GGGAAAAAAAAAACAAAGGAAGGAAGAGAGAAAAGAGAAUGAGAGGAAGAGAAGGAAGGGGAAAAACAAGAUUGACUUUACAGUAUGAGAUAUACUAUUAUAUAUUGUAGUAUGAUGCCUCUGGCUUCCCUCUAUCACACGUCUUCUUUUCGAGUAAAGGUUUUUCAUAAAUGUGAGCGUGGAAGAAGAAACCAGUUAAAUAUGGAACUUCACACCAGGACACAAAAGGACUUCAAACUUUUAGAUUCCACAAGUAUGUGAAAAGAUGCAGUAUUUGUCUUUCUGUGCAUGGUUUACUUCACUUAUCAUCAUGUCCCUCAGGUUCAUCCACGUUGUUGCAAAUGACAGGAUUUCAUUCAUUUUUAAGACUGAAUAGUACUCCAUUAUGCAAAUAUACCAGAUUUUCAUUGUCUAUUCGUUCACUGAUGAACACGGGUUAAUCCUAUAUGUUGGCUAUUGUGAAUAAAGCUGCAAUGAAUAUGAGAGUACAGAUAUAUUCUUGACAUAUUAAUUUUAUUUUAUUUGGCAAUAUACCCAAUAGUAGCUAGAUCAUAUCAGAGUUCUAUUUUUAAUUUUUGAGGAAACUUCAUACUGUUUUUCAUAAUAGUUAUUACUAAUUUACACUCAGUAUACAAGAGUUCCCUUUUCUCCACAUUCUUUCCAAAAUUUGUUUCCUUUUCCCUUUUUGAUAACAGCUACUCUAACUGGGGUGAAAUAAUAUCUCACUGUGGUUUUAAUUUUCAUUUAUCUGAUUAAUGAUUUUGAGCUUUUUAAA
rnacentral:lncRNA from 1 species